GGCCCAUUCAUCCCGGCGCGCGAGGAGCCCCGUUACCGUGGGCACCUGGAGAGAGGAGCCACAGGUGGAAGAGAAGCUGCUGCUCCAGCCCCACAGGUGAGCUGCUCGCCAUCCUGAUCCCAGCACCGCUUCCAGCCGCAGCUGGAGCCCUUGGGAUGUGCAGAGAUGUCCCUGAGCCCCUCGGGCAGGUGACACAGGGCUGCUGCAGCCCCCGUGUGCAGCCUGGUCAUGGAAUACCCUGCACUGGAAGAGACCCACGAGGAUCAUCGAGGCCACGGCUGACGUGACACACACCGUGUCUGAUGCCCUGGGUCAGGAACGAGCAGAUCUGGAGCACGGAAAGCUCCUGGGAGCUGUGGAAUUGGGGCAGGAAUGUGGUUUCCUCGGUCCAGCUCUCGUCGUUUCUCUGGGUAACUCUGUCAGUGUCAAAGCAAAGGCAUCAACACACCCAGGUGAGACCAAAGUCACCCUUUUGGGACAAAUCCAGCCAGGGCUGCAGUCGCCAUUCCCUGUCCCAGGAGCUGCACUGCUCCCACGAGCCUUUCAUCCUGCUGGGACUCGAAUUCCUCUGGAGCAGCAAAGGCUCACAGGGUUAUUCUCGCAACAUCCGACCUGCCUGGCUUCGUGUGAGGAGCCAAAACCCCAUGAAUCCUGGUGUUUGUCCCUCGAGUUUGCAGCAGGGAUGGUGCUGGGCUGGCAGCUCCUCCCGCUGCGUCCCAGGGUGGCUGGAAAACUGCUCCGUGCAUCAAGGUCACUUUAUCUGCCCUCAUCACGGGCCAGAAACGCUCAUGUUAAUGGGUCUCUAAUUUAAUCAAAGUGCAGGGCUGGGAUCUUUUUUCCUUCUUGAAGGGCAAAAAUCAAUUUGCAAUGACAGCGGAUGCACCUCCUCGCCCCUCCAGGCUCCUGGCAGACCACUCAGAAUUAGCCCCACACAAAAUUAGGUGGAAUUAAAAAAACCCACCAGACUUAUUCAGUAAUUCAGACCCAGAAUUUAAAAUUGAAAUGCCCGUCUCAAACCAGCAAUCAGUUUUCUCAUUUGCAUAAAAUACUGUACUACUUUCUCCUUCUAUUCGCAGUUUCAUCCCGUUUUUAACUCUUGCUCUUUGCAUAUUUACAGAACCAUGGAAUAUUCUGAGUUGGAGGGGACUCACAAGGAAGUCCAACUCCUGUUACGGGUGUUUUCUUCUUUGCUGCAGAACAUAUCAGAUACAAUUAAUUAUAUAUAUAAAACUGUAAAUUAUCAUUAUUCAGUGUUGUUAAUUUGCUCUCAGGACUGAAAAGUGAGUAAAUUUUUUCACAGUAAGAAAUAAUAAUAAUAAUAAUAAUAAUAAUAAUAAUAAUAAUAAUAUUGUCUUGAUCUGUCACCAAUAUUGGGCUUUUUUAGGUGCUUUUGAGCACUUUGGUGGCACCGUCCCACCCCUGCAGGCCUGUGUGCUCAGAAAAAACACCGACGGGGUUUCAUAAUUACUGUAUGUGUUGUUUAUAAACAGCCCUUUUCCUGCAAAUCCCGGAGGUGUAACAGCAAAUCAGAGAGGAAAAGG